rnacentral:rRNA from 1 species
UACGUAGGGGGCAAGCGUUGUCCGGAAUCAUUGGGCGUAAAGAGCGCGUAGGCGGCCCUGUAAGUCCGCUGUGAAAGUCAGGGGCUCAACCCUUGGAUGCCGGUGGAUACUGCAGGGCUAGAGUCCGGAAGAGGCGAGUGGAAUUCCUGGUGUAGCGGUGAAAUGCGCAGAUAUCAGGAGGAACACCAAUGGCGAAGGCAGCACUCUGGGACGUGACUGACGCUGAGACGCGAAAGCGUGGGGAGCAAACAGG